rnacentral:lncRNA from 1 species
GGUUUUCAGUGUUCUGUCAAUUUCCUACUGUACAGCAAGGGGACCCAGUCACACAUACAUGUAUACAUUCUUUUUCUCACAUUAUCAUGCUCCAUCAUAAGUGACUAGAUAGAGUUCCUACUGCCAUACAGCAGGAUCCCAUUGCUUAUUCACUACAAAGGCAACAGUUUUAUCUACUCACCCAAAUUCCCAAUCCAUCCCACCAACCCCCCUCGGCAAACACAAGUCCGUUCUCCAUGUCCAUGAUUUUCUUUUCUGUGGAAAGGUUCAUUUGUGCCAUAUAUUAGGUACCAGAUAUAAGUGAAAUCAUAGGUAUUUGUCUUUCUCUUUCUGACUUAGUUCCAUCCCUGGCCUCGCUCGGUGGGUUGGGGGAUGAUUUUUGCUGUAGCCGCUGGCCUAUGCCAGCGGCCACAGCAACGCAGGAUCCGAGCCGCGUCUGCAACCUACACCAAAGUGCACGGCAACGCCGGGUCCUUAACCCACUGAGCAAGGCCAGGGACCGAACCCAAGACCUCAUGGUUCCUAGUCGGAUUCGUUAACCACUGCGCCACGAAGGGAACUCCCAGCAGCUACAGUUCUGAUUUGACCCCUAGCCUGGGAACCUCCAUAUGCCGUGGGUAGCUGCCUUAAAAGGACAAAAAAAAAAAAAAAAGUCACAAAUUCUCUGAGCUUCCAUCUACCAAAAAGUGGGGGUCUAUGUUUCUCUUUCCUUGAAUCUGAGUGGGCUUGAAACUCCACUGACCUCCAAAGUCCGGCAAAAGUAACACUGUAUGACUUCUAAAGUGAGGCCAUUAAAAAAGGCCACGAAGUUUCCAUGUUGGCCACUAAGGCCCGAGCCACCAGGUAGGAAGUGGCUCUAAGAUGCCCUGUAAGACGAUUAGAGGCUGCCGCACGGGAGGAAGCCCAGGCUGCAAGCAGAGGCCACUUGUAGACGCUCCCAGUCAACAGCCCAGCCGAGUGGAGCCUUGGAGUCAUUCCGGCCCUGCUGACCGCUGUGAGAGCGAAGACACUUUCACAUGAUGCCAGUUCCCCGCGGUUGAGGGACACUUCGCCAUUCAAGUUGGCCCAGCUGAGGCUCCAGAAAUGUGGGAGCAGAAACAAGUCCCUGCCAUGCCCUGUCCGAAUUUUUGACCCAUGGAAUCUGUGAGCAAAAUAAAAUGGUUGUUUUAUGCCACUAAGUUUGGGGCAUGCCUUAUCAUGUCCAAAAAUUUAUCACGAAGCAAAAGAAAUUGGAACAAUAGGCGAGAACUGACAGAAAAGCGGGUUAGUUAUUUUAAAAGAUAGGAAGCUAUAUUUUCUUUGACGGUCUAAGCCUGGUUUGAGAGAAACUGUUACCCUAUCACGAAGGGAGGGGACUAAAUAAAUUGUAAUACUUUUGUGACUGUUAAGACUCUUUUAUCUACAGCUGCUGUAAUAGAAACGGUCUCAGUUAUUCGGAAUCUCAGCAGUCCAAAGAGAAUUUGGGAAAGAUAACCCCUCUCUUGUUUAGAUUUUCCAUUCGGGGCUAACAUUCCCAAGAUGCCAUUUAGAGUUUUCCAUGCACCCAUUUCUGCCUAUUUUCCUUGGAGCAGGAUGUAUAUUAACCAUUCAAUAACCUUGCAGAAUGACUGAUACGGUCCAGGCCGACUGGGAGAGAUAUUCCAGACAAAGCAAAGGCACCAGGGUGAAUAAAAGCAAUAAAGAUGGGCCCUUGGGGAGAACAGAGGAGGCCGCCUGAGCCUUAUUCCAUAUACCUUCCCUCGACAUUCACGUGCCUGUAUCUCUAGACCUUUAGCCAGGCUGCUCUCGUUACCUGAAAUGCUCUUCUCCCACCCGCCGGAUGAACUCUUACUCAUCCUGCAAAGCCCGGCCCCACUGUCAGAUUUUCUCUGGAGCUUUCCCUGAUAUGGCCCUACUUGAAGGGAAAUGAAUCCCUCUAUUCUACUCUCUUGCAAUGCUUUCCAUAGCCUCUAGUGUAGCAGGACACUCUCCAGCAUAUUCAGAAAGUUCAGAUGUCUGUUUUCCUCGAUAAACUGUUUAUGAGCAGAGAGAAAGGACGCUUCCCAUUCAUCAUCCUACCUCCUGUCUGAGCGCCUUUGUGCCAAAUGUGAGAGGUCAAAGAAGAAAAACCGCUGCCUUUGAGGCGCCCGCAAUGAAGAGGAGAGAUCCAAAAGCAGUCACAGAGCCGUGCUCUAAGAGCUACACAGAGGUGUGCUGCGAUGAUGCGGACAACACAUGUCCUUCCAGAGGAAACCAGGAAGUGGCACAAAGCAGGUGACAUUUAAAGUGACCCUUGAAAUCAACAAGAAGCCUACACAGGGGAAAUCUAUGGAAUCAGAGCCGAAAGGUCUCAGAAGGGAACUUUUCUUUUUUUUGUCUUUUGUAGGGCCGCUCUGGUGGCAUAUGGAGGUUCCCAAGCUAGGGGUCUAAUCGGAGCUGUAGCUGCCGGCCUACGCCAGAGCCACAGCAACGAGGGAUCGAGCUUCAUCUGCAACCUACACCACUGAGCAACGCCGGAUCCUUAACCCACUGAGCAAGGCCAGGGGUUGAACCUGCAACCUCAUGGUUCCUAGUCGGAUGCCUUAACCACCAAGCCACGACGGGAAUUUCAGAAGGGAACUUCUGAAUAAGAGGAACAUCUGCUCAGGUCUGGUCAUUGUUCUCCCUCCCUAUGGCUGGAGAUUCCCUGCUCAUUAUUCCAAGUUCCCUUUUUUUCCCCACACCCCAAGUCCCUCAGUGGUCCCCAUUACAUCAAAAACACCUAUCAUCUGAACUAGCAACUUGUUGAAAAAAAUGAAUGAAAAUGCAUUCAAACCAGUAGCAAUCAAAUGAAUCCAAAUUAAAACAAGGAACUACUUUUUCACCUGUCAAAUAUUUUCAAAUAGCAUGGUAUUUGUUAUCAAAGAAGAAUCAGAGGGACCCAAACUCUGUCCUCUCUGAGAGGCAAUUUGGUUUGAUGUAACAAAAGCCGUGCAAAUAACUGCACUCUCUCAAUUAGGAAUUCCUUUCAGAGGAAUUUGUCCUAAGUAUAAAAGUCUCUGCUAUAAAGAUCAUCACAGCUUUAUUUAAAAUUGUGGAAAACAGUAAACUACCUAAAUGUCCAACAACAGAAGAGUGAAAAAAAUCUGGCACUGUAGUAAGUGUAACACUACCAUCGAGAGAGUGCUUACGAUGGGUCUGGUAUUAUCAAAUUUCAUCCUACGGCAAUUUAUAAAGUAGUUAUGUGACUUUUCCAGUUGCACCAGAAUUAGCAAAUGGAGGCCACAGCUAAGAGUAGAGACGAGGUUAGUUCCCCAUAAAGAGAACAAUCAAUAACUGAAGGUGGGCUUAUUUAAGAAUUUAUUAAGAAGCUACAGUAUGAAACCUUUUAACUCCACCAUCUUCUGUGCCCCUGCACGGCUCCUCCCCUCCCACGGUCCACAAAAGAACAGAUGGGGAGGGGGACGGUGGACCCUCUGACCCAGCAGGUUGUGCUGGAAUUUGGGGUGGUACUCUCCCUAUGCCCACAGUGGGCUCCCCUAAGAGAAACAGUUACAGAGUUUUGGGGUGCCACAGAAAAAGAACUUGGACAGUAUUUUUUUUUUAAUUUUUAAAAAACUGCAAUGUCUGGUGAAUAUUUGCUCAGGUAGCUGACUUUCAGAUCCAUCCUGGACCAUUCUGAACAAGAGAAGAAGAAAUGGAGGGAAAAGGGAACAGCAGUGCUUUUCCCACACCGUUUGGCAUGGCUAGGAGUCCCACGGAAACUGAUGACUUUGCAAGAAUCCCCAUACAAGAAGGUUGUCCCCUGGGCAAGGGGACCCCAGCUGUGGGGAACCAAGAGU